ACUCAAAGGAAUAGACGGGGGCCCGCACAAGCGGUGGAGCAUGUGGUUUAAUUCGACGCAACGCGAAGAACCUUACCUGGGCUUGACAUGCAGCGGAAACCCCGGUGAAAGCCGGGGCCCCCUUCGGGGCCGCUGCACAGGUGCUGCAUGGCUGUCGUCAGCUCGUGUCGUGAGAUGUUGGGUUAAGUCCCGCAACGAGCGCAACCCCCGUCUUCAGUUGCCAGCGGAGAGGCCUUAAACAAGCCGAGCCGGGGACUCUGAAGAGACUGCCGGUGCCAAACCGGAGGAGGGUGGGGACGACGUCAAGUCAUCAUGGUCCUUACGCCCAGGGCCACACACGUGCUACAAUGGCGCGCACAGCAGGACGCGAACCCGCGAGGGGGAGCCGAUCCCCAAAGCGCGCCUCAGUUCGGAUCGUGGGCUGCAACCCGCCCACGUGAAGCUGGAAUCGCUAGUAAUCGUGGAUCAGCCACGCCACGGUGAAUACGUUCCCGGGCCUUGUACACACCGCCCGU
rnacentral:rRNA from 1 species